rnacentral:rRNA from 1 species
AGCAGCAGCCACGGUAAAACAGAGGGUGCGAGCGUUAAUCGGAUUUACUGGGCGUAAAGCGUGCGUAGGCGGCUUUUUAAGUCGGAUGUGAAAUCCCUGAGCUUAACUUAGGAAUUGCAUUCGAUACUGGGAAGCUAGAGUAUGGGAGAGGAUGGUAGAAUUCCAGGUGUAGCGGUGAAAUGCGUAGAGAUCUGGAGGAAUACCGAUGGCGAAGGCAGCCAUCUGGCCUAAUACUGACGCUGAGGUACGAAAGCAUGGGGAGCAAACAGGAUUAGAUACCCGAGUAGUCCCUGUCUCUUAUAC